CGGGGUGAGUAACGCGUGGGUAACCUGCCUUGUACUGGGGACAACAGUUGGAAACGACUGCUAAUACCGCAUAAGCGCACAGCUUCGCAUGAAGCAGUGUGAAAAACUCCGGUGGUACAAGAUGGACCCGCGUCUGAUUAGCUGGUUGGUGAGGUAACGGCCCACCAAGGCGACGAUCAGUAGCCGGCCUGAGAGGGUGAACGGCCACAUUGGGACUGAGACACGGCCCAA
rnacentral:rRNA from 1 species